rnacentral:rRNA from 1 species
CCGACGGGUGAGUAACACGUAUGCAAUCCACCUGUAACAGGGGAUAACCCGGAGAAAUCCGGACUAAUACCCCAUAAUAUGGGCGCUCCGCAUGGAGAGUUCAUUAAAGAGAGCAAUUUUGGUUACAGACGAGCAUGCGCUCCAUUAGCCAGUUGGCGGGGUAACGGCCCACCAAGGCGACGAUGGAUAGGGGUUCUGAGAGGAAGGUCCCCCACAUUGGAACUGAGACACGGUCCAA